rnacentral:rRNA from 1 species
UACGUAGGGGGCAAGCGUUGUUCGGAAUUACUGGGCGUAAAGGGCGCGUAGGCGGCACGGCAAGUCAUGGAGUGAAAAGCCCUGGCUCAACCCGGGAACUGCUUUUGAAACUGCCGAGCUAGAGUGCGGAAGGGGCAAGCUGGAAUUCCCAGUGUAGCGGUGAAAUGCGUAGAUAUUGGGAAGAACACCUGAGGCGAAGGCGGGUUGCUGGGCCGACACUGACGCUGAGGCGCGAAAGCCAGGGGAGC